UAGAGCAAAUCNCAAAACUACGGUCUCAGUUCAGAUUGCAGGCUGCAACUCGCCUGCAUGAAGUUGGAAUUGCUAGUAAUCGCGAAUCAGAAUGUCGCGGUGAAUACGUUCCCGGGCCUUGUACACACCGCCCGUCACACCAUGAGAGUCGAUAACACCCGAAGCCUGUGAGCUAACCGUAAGGAGGCAGCAGUCGAAGGUGGGGUUGAUGAUUGGGGUGAAGUCGUAACAAGGUAUC
rnacentral:rRNA from 1 species